GCGGGGUGUAGCUCAGUUGGUUAGAGUGCCGGCCUGUCACGCCGGAGGUCGCGGGUUCGAGCCCCGUCACUCGCGCCA
rnacentral:tRNA from 1 species